CACCGGGAGUUCAACGAGCGUUGCUGGAAAUACUGGAGCGACAGCCUACGGAGUUAACAAAACUAGACUCACUUUGACAGUAUAAACUGGUAGAAGUCAGUCGCGUGCUCUUUGGUAGGCUAGACUAACCGUUAGACCCAAGUGAGCUGACUACCUUAAAAAAAAUUAAAUUAGUUUUAAAUUCCCACAAACUAAAUAAACAAACUGAUGCAGGGAGUGGAGAGCAUUGCUGAGGUCGGUGAACGGCCUGCAGACCCUGUUAAUCUCGACUGUGUCCUCAAACAGCUCGACUCCAUGUUGGACUGCAUGAAAGUUCUGGAAGUGGAGACUCAGCUCCUCCAGUGCAACCUGACCACCUGCUUCACCCACCCAGACAAGAUGGCAGCCCUGGCAGAGGGGAGGUGGCCGUGUGAGAAGAAGCCGUUCUGUGAGUUGAUUGGUGGAGAAGCCUCACCUGUCCCACCUGUCUGAGAUAAUGCUCCGCCUGCUCGCGAGUCACCUGACCGAUGUACCACCUGGGGUCUGGGUCCUGGCAGCGAGACAGACGGACAGACAGACAGACAGAAUUACAGUCCUGCGUCCACUUUCACCAGUUUAAUCAGAGCUCAGAAAGCAAGUAUUAUUCAUGUUUCUAAUCUCAUCUGUGUCAUUAUUGUAAUGGAUCCAUGUUAUUCCUUGUUUGUUAUGGACUGCUGAAUGUCACCCUGUGGAACACAUUCACUAUUAAAGUAUUUAGAGAUGGAAA